CAAAAUUGCUAGCUCACAAACAAAUGGGAUGAGAGGGGAACCAAGUUGCUCCGUGUAAAGAACCUGUGGCAGAGCCAGGUGAAAAUGAGGGCCUGGAUCCACAACCUGCAAAGGGAUCCUGUAAAUCCACAAGGCAGAAAGUGGACAAGAGGACCACCAUGACCCCAGAGAUGAUCCAUCUAUCUCCAAGAGCAAAAUAGAAACAUCAUUUGAAGCCAGAGCUGAUUUCCACACCCAGACUGGCCCCUCCCCGGGUCAGAUGGGCGCCUUCCUUAAGUAGAGGAGUUCAUGGACGCUUUGGCCGCGACUCCUGCCGGGAACAUGGUGGAGGGCCCGUGGCUCCCCUCGGAGCAUCAGAAAAUAUGUGACCGUUGGCAGCUGGUUCGUGUAGAGUCCCCGGUCCCACUGAGCCUCGAGGACUGUGACUAUCUUGUGCACCUGUUGCCCACAGGGCCUGGAACAGCGAAAAACAAAUAGACAAAUAAAACAAAAAAACCAAAACAACAAGAACAAAAAACAUGGGGAUGUUAGAAUGGAAGAGAUGAUGCAUGCCACACG